rnacentral:sRNA from 1 species
CAGGAGUGCCUUUCAGGCAUCCUCUCCCAAAACUUUCCAAGGGGCCGGCGCAAGCUGGCCCCAUUUUUUUGCGCAUG